rnacentral:rRNA from 1 species
AUGAACGCUGGCGGCGUGCCUAAUACAUGCAAGUUGAGCGAACAGAUGAGUAGCUUGCUCCUCUUACGUUAGCGGCGGACGGGUGAGUAACACGUGGAUACCCUACCUAUAAGACUGGGAUAACUACGGUAAACCGGAGCUAAUACCUGCUACUAUAUUGAACCGCAUGAUUCAAUAGUGAAUGACGGUCUUGCUCUCACUUAUAGAUGGAUCCGCGCCGCAUUAGCUAGUUGGUAAGGUAACGGCUUACCAAGGCGACGAUGCGUAGCCGACCUGAGAGGGUGAUCAGCCACACUGGAACUGAGACACGGUCCAGACUCCUACGGGAGGCAGCAGUGGGGAAUAUUCCGCAAUGGGCGAAAGCCUGACGGAGCAACGCCGCGUGAGUGAUGAAGGUCUUCGGAUCGUAAAACUCUGUUAUUAGGGAAGAACAAAUGUGUAAGUAACUAUGCACGUCUUGACGGUACCUAAACAGAAAGCCACGGCUAACUACGUG